AUUGAACGCUGGCGGCAUGCCUUACACAUGCAAGUCGAACGGUAACGGGCCUUCGGGUGCCGACGAGUGGCGAACGGGUGAGUAAUGCAUCGGAACGUACCUUUCAGUGGGGGAUAACGUAGCGAAAGUUACGCUAAUACCGCAUAUUCUGUGAGCAGGAAAGCAGGGGAUCGCAAGACCUUGCGCUGAUUGAGCGGCCGAUGUCAGAUUAGCUAGUUGGUGAGGUAAAGGCUCACCAAGGCGACGAUCUGUAGCGGAUCUGAGAGGAUGAUCCGCCACACUGGAACUGAGACACGGUCCAGACUCCUACGGGAGGCAGCAGUGGGGAAUUUUGGGACAAUGGGGGCAACCCUGAUCAGCCAUGCCGCGUGAGUGAAGAAGGCCU
rnacentral:rRNA from 1 species